rnacentral:pre_miRNA from 1 species
CUUAUACUCCCUCCGUCCGGAAAUACUUGUCCUAGAAAUGGAUGUAUCUAGACUUAUUUUAAUUAUAGAUACAUUUAUUUUCUUUAUUUUCAGGACAAGUAUUUCCGGACGGAGGGAGUAUAUU